rnacentral:miRNA from 1 species
CCCGCCUUGCACCAACUGAAU